AAGCAACCCAGAGCCCUCCUCCCGCCUGCUCUGUGUAGGAGACAGCCUGCGGAGCCCACUGCCGGCGCGCAGAGAGCCCAGCAGCUCUUGAGUCCAGGAAGCAAGGGUGGGAGGAGGGACGAGCCAGUGGCAAUGACCCAGACCCGGACGACCCCCAUUGCUGAGCCAGCGGAGCUGCUUGGAGGCAGAGGUUGCAGUGAGCUGAGAUUUUGCGACUACACUCCAACCUGGGCAACAGAGCGGGACUCCAUUCCAAAAAAAUAAGAAAAACAGAAAAAUAAUAAUUACAUCUGCAAAGACCUUAUUUCCAGAGACAGAGUUUUGCUGUGUUGCCAGGCUGAUCAACUCCUGAGCUUAUGCAAUCCACUCACCUCGGCCUCCCAAAGUGCCAGGAUUACAGGCGUGAGCCACCUUGCCCGGCCAAGAUGAGGUAUUAUUACAUCAUUAUUGUAAGCAGGCAAGAAGAAUCUGUUGGAUGAUUACAACAUUGCUGGAUUGAUAGCAGCCUCACCUGCCAGGCUCAAACUCCAGAUCCAAAGUCCACAAAUAUAUCAUAAAUCUGAAGAGGAACUGGGAGAAGCUUCUGCUGGCAGCUCAUGCCAUUGUUGCCAUUGAAAACCCUGCUGAUGUGUCAUAUCCUGCAGGAAUACUAGCUAGUGGGCUGUGCUGAAGUUUGCUGCUGCUGCUGGAGCCACAUGUAUUGCUGGUCACUUCACUUCUGGAACCUUUGCUAACCAGAUCCAAUCAUCUUCUGCCACCCACAUCUUCUGGUGGUUACUGAUUCUAGGGCUAACUAUCAGCCUCUCUCAGGGGCUUCUUAUGGUAACCUACCUACCUACCACUGCUGUAUGUAACAGAUUCUCCUCUGAGCUAUGUGGAUAUUGUCAUCCCAUGCAACAACAAGGAAGCUCAAUCACUGAGUCUAAUGUAGUGGAUGCUGGCCCAGGAAGCUCUGUGCAUGUGUUGCACCAUCUCCCAUGAUCAUGCCUGAUCUCUACUUCUAUAGAGAUCCUGAAGAGAUUGAAAAGGAAGAGUAGGCUGCAGCUGAAAAAGGAGGAAUUUCAAAGUGAAUGGACUGCUGUAGUGCAAGUUUACUGCUACUCAAUCUGAGGUUGCAGACUGGUUUAAAGACAUGCAGGUGCCCUCUGUGCCUAUUCAGCAGUUCCCUACUGAAGAUUGGAGCACUUAGCCUACCAUGAAUGACUGGUCUGCAACUUCCACUGCUCAGACCACUGAAUGGGUAAGAAUAACCACUGAGUGGCCUUAAGCUGUUCUUCCACAAGCUCUUAAACAAGAUGGAAAUAACGCUGAUGGAAAUAAACAACAGUUUCCAAGAAAACACGAACAGCUGAAGUGGCAAUGUUUAAGUAACAUCUGGUAGACUUUAACAUGAAUGUUAUUAAGCAGGAAAUUAUGAUCUUUUAAGUUGGAACAUGUAAUGUUAAUCCUUUUGCACCAAAAUAUCUCUUUAAGUCUAAAUUAUCCACUUUUUUUUUUAAUUCUUCGUAGAGAUAGAGGUUUCGCUUUGUUGCCCAGGCUGUUCUUGACUUCCUAACUUCAAGCAAUCCUUCUGCCUCAGCCUCCCAGAGUGCUGGGAUUAUAGGCAUUUGCCACCGUGCCUGGUGUACCCAGUUUCUGUUAUCAACAGAAUGCAGUGGUGUAUGGUUGCUAAAGGGUCCCAAGAUCAGGACCUACGUUAAGGUGGAUUUUGAAUUAUUUAAAAUUCUGAUUUUGUUUUAUUUUUAAUUAAUCUUUGGGGGAAGGAUGGGAGGGGGGUGAGGGUUGAAGAAGUAAACAUUGUACCUAUUGGAUACAAUGUUUAAUAUUUGUGUGAUGGGCACACUGGAAGCCCAAACCUCACUAUUACACAAUACAUUCAUGUAACAAGCCUGCACAUGCACCUCCUGAAUCUAUUUUUAAAAAUUUAAUUCUCUAGCACAGACUCCCUUUUUUUGGUAAGAUGGCGGGGUACGACUUAACUACUCGCAUCACGCACCUUUUGGAUCGGCAUCUAGUCUUUCCGCUCCUUGAGUUUCUCUCUGUAAAGGAGAUAUAUAAAGAAAAGGAAUUAUUACAAGGUAAAUUGGACCUUCUUAGUGAUGCCAACAUGGUAGACUUUGCUAUGGAUGCAUACAAAAACCUUUAUUCUGAUGAUAUUCCUCAUGCUUUGAAAGAGAAUAGAACCACAGUUGUUGCACAACUGAAACAGCUUCAGGCAGAAACAGAACUAAUUGUGAAAAUGUUUGAAGAUCCAGAAACGACAAGGCAAAUGCGGUCAACCAGGGAUGGUAGGAUGCUCUUUGACUACCUGGCGGACAAGCAUGGUUUUAGGCAGGAGUAUUUAGAUACAUUCUACACAUAUGCAAAAUUCCAGUAUGAAUGUGGGAAUUACUCAGGAGCAGCAGAAUAUCUUUAUUUUUUCAGAGUGUUGGUUCCAGCAACAGACAGAAAUGCUGUAAGUUCACUCUGGGGAAAGCUGGCCUCUGAAAUCUUAAAGCAGAAUUGGGAUGCAGACAUGGAAGACCUUACAUGGUUAAAAGAGACCAUAGAUAAUAAUUCUGUGAGUUCUCCACUCCAGUCUCUUCAGCAGAGAGCAUGGCUCGUUCACUGGUCUCUGUUUUCUUCAAUCACCCCAAAGGUUGUGAUAAUAUUGUUGAUCUCUUCCUUUACCAGCCACAGCAUCUUAAUGUGUCCACACAUUCUUCACUAUUUGACUACAGCAGUCAUAGCAAACAAGGAUGUUCGAAAACGUUGGCAGGUGCUAAAAGAUCUAGGUAAAGUUACUCAACAGGAGUCUUACACAUAUAAAGACCCAAUUACAGAAUUUGUUGAAUGCUUAUAGAUUAACUUUGACUUAGAUGGGGCUAAGAAAAAGCUGAGAGAAUGUGAAUCAGUGCUUGUGAACGACUUCUUGGUGGCUUGUCUUAAGGAUUUCAUUGACAAUGCCCAUCUCUUCAUAUUUGAGACUUUCUGUCACAUCCACCAGUGUAUCAGCAUUAACAUGUUGGCAGACAAAUUGAACAUGACUCCAGAUGAAACUGAAAGGUGGAUUGUAAAUGUGAUUAGAAAUGCAAGACUGGAUGCCAAGAUUGAUUCUAAAUUAGGUCAUGUGGUUAUGGUAACAAUGUACUCUCACCCUAUCAGCAAGUGAUUGAAAAGACCAAAAGCCUUUCUUUUAGAAGCUAGAUUUUGGCCAUGAAUAUUGAGAAGAAACUUAAUGACAAUAGCAGGUCAGAGGCUCCUAACUGGGCAACUCAAGAUUCUGGCUUCUACUGAAGAAACAUAAGGAAAAGAUUUUAAAAAAACUCUAAAAGAAAGAUGAAAUAAUAAAACUAUUAUAUAAAGGGUGACUUACAUUUUGGAAACAACAUAUUGAGUGUAAAUUGUGAAGAAUUGGAAUAAAAUUGACUGAUUCAAAAAAAUUUAAUUCACAAAAAAAUUUUAAUCCUUUUAAGCUAAUUAUAGAUUCACAUGUAGUUGUAAGAAGUUACAAAGAGGCUAGGUGCAGUAGCUGACGCCCAUGAUCCCCGCACUUUGGGAGGCCGAGGCAGGCAGAUCUCUUGAGGCCAGGAGUUUGAGACUAGCCUGGCCAACAUGGCAAAACCCCAUCUCUACAAAAAAUUAGCAAAGCAUGGUGGCACAUGCCUGUAAUUACAGCUACUUGGGAGGCUGAGGCAUGAGAAUCACUUGACCUGGGAUUACAAGUGUAAUCCCAGCCAUAGGCUGGGUGCAGUGGCUCACACCUGUAAUCCCAGCACUUUGGGAGGCCAAGGUACGGGUGGAUCACCUGAGGUCAAGAGUUCAAGACCAGCCUGGCCAACAUGGUGAAACCCCGUCUCUACAAAAACACAAAAAUUAGCCGGGCAUGAUGGUGCGCACCUGUAAUCCCAGCUACUCAGGAGGCUGAGGCAGGAGAAUCGCAUGAACCCAGGAGGCAGAUGUUGCAGUGAGCCAAGAUCACGCCAUUGCACUCCAGCCUGGGCAACAGAGUGAGACUCCACCUCAAAAAAAAAAAAACAAAAAAAAACCACCAGCCAUUUGGGAAGCCAAGGCAGGAUUGCUUGAGACCAACCAGAAGUUCAAGGUUGCCUGGGCAACAGAGCAAGACUGUCUCGAGACAAAACAAAAAGUCAGCAUCUUCUGCCCACUUUUACUUUAACAUACAUUUAUGGAUCUAUUGUCUCUUUCCCUGUUCUAAAACUUUAAAUUUCACAAGAAUGAAGAUUUUGCUGUCUUGUUUCCUGCUGUGUCCCCAGCAUAAACAGCAUAAAGAAGUGCCAUAAGAUAGAAAUUUUUGUUUUCUGUUCACCAGUAUAUCCACAGCACCUAGAACAGCAUCUGCUUUAGACUUAUUAGAUGAAGACUUAAAAAAAAAAGGAACAGCACUUCUGCACAUAUUUAGCACUUGAUACAUAUUUGUGGAAUAAUUUCUAUCAUAACUAGCAGCUACUUCCUAAUUUGAUAUGUAGCAUCCCGUAUUAACAGGACUUUUGUGAAUGGAGAGGACAUCUAUUUAUUCUUUGUUAUGUGCCAAAUAUAUUUGUAUUAAUCAUAACUCUUAAUAUUCCUUUAAAAUUAAAUAAUUGUUUCCACAGCUCUUAAAAUAGAAUUUAGGAACCUAGCAACAUGCCACUCAUCCAUUAACAGUGAUAAAUUAUUUAAUUUUAUAAACUUUUCAUUAAAGUAACUGAUAUAGUUUGGA
rnacentral:lncRNA from 1 species